UAUAUAUAUGUGUGUGUGUGUGCGCGUGUGCGUGUAUCAUCGUUCUUGUUGUGUUUCUCAGUGGAAUUAAGAUUAUCAGCUAGCUUAGAUGGACACUGCAAGUGCAAGAGAAGAGCAGCGGCGUCAAGAACUAGAGAAGCUUCUCCGGAAAUGGAGUCCCCCGGAGGUUCCUGUUCACAGCAUUUACCAUAGAAAGAGCUUCUUCAGCUUCUGGCGAGAUCCAGACUACGAGAUCCAUAAACUCAAGAAGACGGUGCCGAUCCGCGGCGAAUACGUCGACCUCCACUUACUCGACACGCAAGCCGUUCGGCAUCACAUGAUCAAGUACGGGUACCUUCAUUUCGGCCUGGUCCAAGUCGCCGUGAAGCCUCUCACCGCCGCCGGCUUGGACUGCUCUGUUCUCGUCUGCCUCCGCGACUGUCGCCACUUCAAGUUUGGCGAUUCCCUUCUGGCGGUGGCUCAAGCUUCUCUCCGCCACGGACCCAUUUAUUUUGACUGCUAUCCAAGCUAUCUGGUGGCGCUUUCGGACGCUGCGAAGCCCAUGACUUCGACUCUCAGCAUCAAAAUUGAGAGUUCCCGGAAUGUCGAGCUGAGUUCAUCGGAUAUAGCCGUCGAGUACAGGGUUUACUAUCGAGUAGCCAACAAUGCUUUUUACGGCUUAAAGGAGUCUCGCUCCUCCGUCGGGGAGACUACUUUCGUGGAGACCAAUCUGGUGGGCGGCGGCCGUGCCGUUCCAAGGACUAUCCAGUUUGAUUCGUUUGAAGUGCCGGAAAGAUGGAUGGACAGAACAGAGCCCACCAACAAUGGCGAUUGACACUUGCAUAUCAAAACAAAAAGAGAGAGAGAUAUUUUUCUCUCACAUGGAAGCUUCUAGCCGAAUGGAGAAAUCAGAGGAGAGAAACAGAGAGUGAGACAUAGAGGGAGCGAGCAGAGAGGGAGCUCAGGAGAGAUUGCGAAGGAGAGAGUUGAUGCGAAAGAGGGAGAGAGAGACGAGGUGCAAGGCGGCCAUGGAAGCUGCCGAGUGAAGCUCGGCCAUGGCAGUCGAGUGAACCAGUAGCAGCGGCAAGCUUCUUCCCCUUCUCCUCUACCUUGAAUCGCUGUUAUAGUGGGUAAGUAGGGUCCAAGGUGAGUGUCAAUUACUGUUGCACAGUGAAGCUAACUGUAACUAUAUAAUAUAUAUAUAUAUAUAUUGAGCACAAUAAGUACACCGUGGGUGGGUGUAUUUGGCUUUUGGGCUGUGAGUGUAGCGUUGUAUGCGUGUGUUCAGUGUGUUCAGAGCUAAAGCAGAGGUCCUUGGCCGAGAGUGAGCAGGUCCCUUUUUCCUUCCUUGUUGCUCCUCCAAUGUUUGUGAGUAUAUAUAUAUAUAUAUAUAUAUAUAUAUUUAUAUAUACAUAUAUUUAUAUAUGUGCAGUGGGUGGCAUCGGUUUCGUGGGUGAAAGAAUUUACUGGUGAGCAGGUGUGUGAUUACCCAAGUGUUUGAGGUUUGAGGUAGUGUAGCCAUGAGUGUAAGGAGCUUUGUAAGUGUGUAAAUGUGUAGGGGCAGUGAGUAGGAGCUUUGGUUGGGGGUAGAAGAUGCUCCACAGUGAAGGUGUGUGAGUGUAAUACCGUGUGUGUUCAAUACCGUGUGUGUUCACUGGGUGUGUUUUGUUUUAUAUUAAUAUUGUUAUUGUUAUUGUAAAGAUAAGAUUAAUAGUAGUAAAUAAUAAUUUUUAUUGUUAGCUCCUGGUGAUGCUCUCGCUGGAGAUGGAAGGUGACCCAUGUAUAUUUAAUAGUGUAUAUUAAGUGUUUAUAUAUAGAUAUAAACAAUAGUAAAUAAUAUAUAUAUUUGUAUAUUAAGUGAGUUUGUGGUGAAUUCGUUGUGAGCUAAUUAAGUGAGCUGGCUGUGUCAGUGCGUGUCUAAAACACUAAAGGAAAUGACCUUGGAUCAUAUGUGCAAGGAAAAAAUAAUAGAAUUUUGGGAGUUUUCGGCAAAGGAAGUGAUCAGGAAAUGAUUUAAUUUGCAUCGGGAGCUCGAGUGAGGUCAGAAUCAGCUGGUUUCAGG